GUGGUGAUCGUGUUUAUUGGGUCUAAAGGGUCCGUAGCCGGUUUGGUCAGUCCUCCGGGAAAUCUGACGGCUUAACCGUUAGGCUUUCGGGGGAUACUGCCAGGCUUGGAACCGGGAGAGGUAAGAGGUACUACAGGGGUAGGAGUGAAAUCUUGUAAUCCCUGUGGGACCACCUGUGGCGAAGGCGUCUUACCAGAACGGGUUCGACGGUGAGGGACGAAAGCUGGGGGCACGAACCGGAUUAGAUACCCGGGUAGUCCCAGCCGUAAACGAUGCUCGCUAGGUGUCAGGCAUGGCGCGACCGUGUCUGGUGCCGCAGGGAAGCCGUGAAGCGAGCCACCU
rnacentral:rRNA from 1 species